rnacentral:rRNA from 1 species
UACGAAGGGGGCUAGCGUUGCUCGGAAUCACUGGGCGUAAAGGGUGCGUAGGCGGGUCUUUAAGUCAGGGGUGAAAUCCUGGAGCUCAACUCCAGAACUGCCUUUGAUACUGAAGAUCUUGAGUUCGGGAGAGGUGAGUGGAACUGCGAGUGUAGAGGUGAAAUUCGUAGAUAUUCGCAAGAACACCAGUGGCGAAGGCGGCUGACUGGUCCGGUUCUGACGCUGAGGCGCGAAAGCGUGGGGAGCGAACAGG